rnacentral:rRNA from 1 species
GACGAACGCUGGCGGCGUGCUUAACACAUGCAAGUCGAACGGAAAGGCCCUGCUUUUGUGGGGUGCUCGAGUGCGAACGGGUGAGUAACACGUGAGUAACCUGCCCUUGACUUUGGGAUAACUUCAGGAAACUGGGGCUAAUACCGGAUAGGAGCUCCUGCUGCAUGGUGGGGGUUGGAAAGUUUCGGCGGUUGGGGAUGGACUCGCGGCUUAUCAGCUUGUUGGUGGGGUAGUGGCUUACCAAGGCUUUGACGGGUAGCCGGCCUGAGAGGGUGACCGGCCACAUUGGGACUGAGAUACGGCACAGACUCCUACGGGAGGCAGCAGUGGGGAAUAUUGCACAAUGGGCGGAAGCCUGAUGCAGCAACGCCGCGUGCGGGAUGACGGCCUUCGGGUUGUAAACCGCUUUCGCCUGUGACGAAGCGUGAGUGACGGUAAUGGGUAAAGAAGCACCGGCUAACUACGUG